UCUUAAUUUUUCUCUCUCUGACCGGUGGGGCCCUUACGUCAGCACGUACCUCAGCCAGAAAUCAGAUGAACACGAGUUCGUUCACAGUUCGUUUCAAGCCCGAUUUUGCCCAGGAAAAUCUCUCCGAUUCGUUCUGUUUCUUGACCCCUCCGUCACGAAAAUCCCCCUAUAAAUACCCCACGACCUCCUCCUCCGAAACCCUCAAAACAAUCUAGCAAAAUCGCUCCAGGCUACCGGAUUGCGAUCUCAGUUCCGCCGCCAUUGGAGCUUGAGCACCGGAGUCGCUGGGAUUUCUCGCCGGAGUUCCACCAAAGACCGACGUCUCCAUCCAUACCUCACCGAUGUUCCGGAAAGCGGAAGACGACGACCAGGACGCUGACGUGAUCGCCAAGAGGAGCUGAACACCGUCAUCUACUUCGCCGCCUCGGGAGUUCGCCGGAACCACCGUCACCAUCGACUUCCGAUCGCCACAGCCACCGUCGCCGGACAUCCCUGUCUUUUCCGACUGCGAGGAGUGCAACGUCUGCGAUUGCAACGAGUGCGUGAACAACUUCAACAACUAAGGC